rnacentral:tRNA from 1 species
GGAAUGUGGCUUAGUGGUUGAGAGCCCCUGAGUUCAAUCAAUCAAUAAGUAAAUAAGACUGGGGAUGUAGCUCAGAUAGAUAGAUAAAUAAAUACAUAAAUAAAUAAAUAAAUAAAUAAAUAAGACUGGGGUUGUAGCUCAGGUUAGGCAUACCUGGGUUCAAUCCCAAGUACCA